rnacentral:rRNA from 1 species
UACUUUUAUAGGAGGUGGGGUGGGGUGGGGUUCAGGGUUGGGGUCGGUCCGGGUUGGGUUUGACUUGAGAAGAGGGGGGCUGGGUUUGGGGUCGGGGCGGCGGCCGGUUGAGGUCAGGGAAGCGGCGGCGGCGGCGGCGGCGCAUCUGCGCUCCUGCGUGUGCGUAGGCGAUGGUGGCGCCGGUACCAGGAGAGGGUGGCGGCGAAGGAGGAAGGUGGGGCCGGAGAAACGGUAGCCGCGGCAGCGUGGUGACGGCCGGGGACGAGCUCGACCAGUCCGCCGCACGUCUAGGCGGUGACGGUGUCGCAGCAGCAGGAGGUGUUGGUGCGUCGCCGAGGAGCGGGCGCUGGGAGAAGAGGUCAAACCCCCGUUCCUUCCUCUUCGGAAAGAGCGAGCUAGACCGCUCCUACCUACGCGUCGUUCCACGUGGUGGCACUACUACCCCUAAGUAAGAACGACGGUGCUAAGCAGAGCAGCAGGAGGGGCCGUAAGCGUAUCCAGUCCGAGCACCCCUGCCACUCACCGUUCCGCCCCUCCUUGUGCCUAUACAGUGAAGUAGUCUACCGUCCAUCCUCCAUGUUGCCGGUCGCUGGCCCUGCUGUGGUUGUCGGUUUCCUUCGAACUCCAGACGAGGAAGAGGUGGUCAUCUCUCCUCGGAGGAAAAACCCAAGGCGCACAGACGAGGCUCGGAUGGUCGCGGCUACGGUACCUUCUAAAUGAGUCCGUGCGCUUCGCAUUACUCCUCGUCGACGACCCGCACUACAACUAGCUAGGAUCGGACAGAAGGCCGAGAGUCACUAAACGAGGAGCUCCACAUACGGCACGACGUGGACUUAGGACAACUGAUGCUCGUCGCCUUGCGGAACAAACUACAUAAGUCGUUGUACCGUUGAUUUUAGAAACCAUUCUCUACUAUAUCAAACGGAAACAAUGAUUAUUACACUAGUGACUUAUCGUACUACUUGAACAGCGUCUCAUCUCUUUCUAUUGUAGCAGUACUUAUAAUAGAGAGAAGGUCAAUAUGAGGGAGGCAUUGAAUUAUAUUCUACGAAAAACUGUGAUACGGUCACAGUCUUUUGUAUAAUAUACUUCAAUGCCUCCCUCAUCAUUAGUCGCCAAAAUGAGAAACAUAAACUCUAAAGAGUUUUUGAGAGCAAUGAAUACAAUAGAUAGAUGAAUGCCUCCCUCAUCAUUUUGAUUAUUCUUCUUAUGGUAAGAAUUAUACAAACUAAGACCAAUAAACAAUAGAUAGAUGAAUACAAUAGAUCGUAGAUGUGCUAUGAAAACACCUUCCACCUGACAGCGACAGUCUUUAGUCUUUAUGAUAAAAGAACCGAAACCAGAAAACCUGUCAACUUCAAACACUUAUUAGUACGACACAACAAUCAACAAUGAAAUUCAUACCAGG